CCUACGGGCGGCAGCAGUGAGGAAUAUUGGUCAAUGGGCGAGAGCCUGAACCAGCCAAGCCGCGUGAGGGAGUACUGCUCUAUGGGUUGUAAACCUCUUUUGUCGGGGAGCAAAAGCCGGACGUGUCCGGCUGUGAGAGUACCCGAAGAAAAAGCAACGGCUAACUCCGUUCCGGCAGCGGCGGUAAUACGGAGGAUGCGAGCGUUAUACGGAGUUAUUGGGUUAAAAGGGUGCGCAGGCGGAUUUUUAGGGCAGCGGUCAAAUCGGGGGGCUCAACACCAUCCAGCCGUUGAAACUGGGGAUCUAGAGUGUGCGAGAGGUAUGCGGAAUGCGUGGUGUAGCGGUGAAAUGCAUAGAUAUCACGCAGAACCCCGAUUGCGAAGGCAGCAUACCGGAGCGCAACUGACGCUCAGGCACGAAAGCGUGGGUAUCGAACAGGAUUAGAUACCCGAGUAGUC
rnacentral:rRNA from 1 species